rnacentral:ncRNA from 1 species
UUAAGUGUAUCUGAGUCCUUUAACCGAGACCUGUGAGGACUUUAAACAGUAGUCUCUUUCUUACCCUUCACAUAAAUCGCACU